rnacentral:rRNA from 1 species
UACGGGGGGAGCAAGCGUUAUCCGGAAUGAUUGGGCGUAAAGCGUCCGCAGGUGGCAGUUCAAGUCUGCUGUCAAAGACCGGGGCUUAACUUCGGAAAGGCAGUGGAAACUGAACAGCUAGAGUAUGGUAGGGGCAGAGGGAAUUCCUGGUGUAGCGGUGAAAUGCGUAGAGAUCAGGAAGAACAUCGGUGGCGAAGGCGCUCUGCUGGACCAUAACUGACACUCAGGGACGAAAGCUAGGGGAGCGAAUGGG